rnacentral:ncRNA from 1 species
UUCUCAGCGCAUGCUUCAGCACGAUGUUCUGGAAGCUCACCCCCUUGAGCCGCGCCGUGCGGAUGUAUUGCGCGGUCAUCACCUCGGUCAUCGACGCCCGCGUCAUCCGCGCGAUGUAGCCCAUACCGUAGAGCGCGAUGGUCAGCACCGGCAGGGUGAAGUUGGUGAAGUUGGCGUC